CAAAAAGGGGGGAAAGCACUCGAAGAAGAAGAAGAAGAAGAAGAAGAAUUGGACUGGACCCUAAAAAAAAACAUGCCACGUCGGACGCGCACUCUAACAUUGAUUGCGGGGGUCGCGGCGGGUCUUCUGAAGAAUAUCUCGGUGAAGCGCGUGGGAUCCACGCACCAAUGGCUUCGGUUGUCUUGGUUUGGUGUCGUCAAACUGACUUAUUGAAUAUUCCAAUUCUCAUGCAACGUUGGUUUUUUAUUUUCUUUUUAAGGGUUUAGAAUUUAGACAGAUUAAUAAGUUUGGUCAUUUUUUUCUGCAGAAGCCACCGACGGAAAAUUCAACCCAUUCUUGAAACGAAAUCAAAUAAAUUUUUCGGAUCCGAUGAAGUUGAUCAUACCGUAGACCUGCCCGUAGACGAUAACUGAAAAAGAAGAAAAAGGAAAAUGGGUUUCCACAACUUCUUUAAGUAUAAAGAGGGUGUCCAUUUGAAAGAUAGUGGUUGUGACUUUUCCAAUUUUGCAAUUGAUAUUGAUGAGACGCAACUCUUCAAGAUAGGAUGCAAUAGAUGCCAACUGGAUGCAUUUGUUCGGGAUGGAGGUGAUUACACACAUUGAAUUGGUGUACUGAUUCUUCCAAUGUAUGUGUGAGAUGCACGUGUAAAAGAAAAAUAAAAUAUAUAUUGGCAUUUACAUUCUUCAAAAAAUAAUUUCAUGAGAUCCAAAGUUUAGAGAAAAUAAUUGUAAAAAAAUUUAGAAAAAUUGCAAAAAAAGU